AGCAGCCGCGGUAAUUCCAGCUCCAAUAGCGUAUAUUAAGGUUGUUGCAGUUAAAAAGCUCGUAGUUGAAUUUCGGGAUCAAUUUAUUGGUCGUGCUAUUGUACGUACUGGUAUUAUUGAUUCCUACCUUCUGACGAACCAUGAUGUCAUUAAUUUGGUGUCAUGGGGAAUCAGGACUGUUACUUUGAAAAAAUUAGAGUGUUUAAAGCAGGCUCACGCUUGAAUACAUUAGCAUGGAAUAACGAAAUAGGACGUUUGAUUCUAUUUUGUUGGUUUCUAGGAUCGACGUAAUGAUUAAUAGGGAUAGUUGGGGGCAUUAGUAUUCAAUUGUCAGAGGUGAAAUUCUUGGAUUUAUUGAAGACUAACUACUGCGAAAGCAUUUUGCCAAGGAUGUUUUCAUUAAUCAAGAACGAAAGUUAGGGGGUAUCGAAGACGAUCAGAUACCGUCGUAGUCUUAACCAUAAACUAUGCCGACUAGGGAUCGGAUGAUGUUAAUUUUUUAAUGACUUCAUUCGGC
rnacentral:rRNA from 1 species